rfam:Actinomyces massiliensis F0489 contig00001, whole genome shotgun sequence.
GCCCCGUUCGUCUAGCGGCCCAGGACACCGCCCUCUCACGGCGGCAGCACCGGUUCAAAUCCGGUACGGGGUA